AUGAACGCUGGCGGCGUGCCUAAUACAUGCCAGUCGAGCGAACAGACGAGGAGCUUGCCCCUCUGACGUUAACGGCGGACGGGUGAGUAACACGCGGAUAACCUACCUAUAAGACUGGGAUAACUUCGGGAAACCGGAGCUAGUACCGGAUAAUAUAUUGAACCGUAUGGUUCAAUAGUGAAAGACGGUUUUGCUGUCACUUAUAGAUGGAUCCGCGCCGCAUUAGCUAGCUGGUAAGGUAACGGCUUACCAAGGCAACGAAGCGUAGCCAAGCUGAGAGGGAGGUCGGCUAGCCUGGUACUGAGACACGGUACACACUCCUACACGAGGAAGCAGUAGAGAAUCGUCCGAAAUGGGCGAAAGCUCGACAGUGCAACGACGAGCGAGUCCUGAAGGUCUUCGGAUCGGAAAGCUAUGUCAUUAGGGAAGAACAAAUGUGUAAUUACCUGUGAACACCUGGACGGUACCAAAGCAGAAAGCCCCGGCUAACUACGUG
rnacentral:rRNA from 1 species